rnacentral:piRNA from 1 species
UUCGCGAGGGCGCUUUUUACC